GUUGCUGCCGUCACUAGUCCGUUAGGAUUCCCCCCAAGGUGAUUCAGGCAACCGUUGGCACAAAUGAUAUAUACUAGUUGAAAUCUAUUGACCUUCCUUGCUCGAGGAGGUGAUGAAGGCCUAGAAAAACAGGUUGAUCACAGUCUGGAGAUUUGGCCCAGGACUGUGAUACUAGAGAGGAAGUGAACAGGACCAGGGGUUGGAGGUCAAGGACUCUGAGCAGCAUUGACAGCAGAGAUCACGGAAGCAAUCAUCAUGUAGCCAUGGAAAUCAACGAGUGCAGAGGAAAUGUUGCAGGAGAAUAAUGAAGCCAACUAGCUCAACUCCACAAAAGUUGGUCACAUCCUAAAACAAUUAAAAAACAAGCAUCCAAA